AACUAUAACGGUCCUAAGGUAGCGAAAUUCCUUGUCGGGUAAGUUCCGACCCGCACGAAUGGUGUAACGAUUCUGGGCACUGUCUCAACGCGAGACUCGGUGAAAUUUAUAUACCGGUAAAGAAGCCGGUUACCCAUAGUUAGACGGAAAGACCCCGUGAACCUUCACCGCAACUUAUUAUUGGGACUUGGUUUAUCAUGUGUAGAAUAGGUGGGAGGCUAUGAAGCUUGACCGUUAGGUUGGGUGGAGCCGAAAAGUGAAAUACCACCCUUGAUAAAUCAGGUUUCUAACCGCUGUCCGUGAAACCGGAAGCGGGACAGUGAUAGGCAGGCGGUUUGACUGGGGCGGUCGCCUCCUAAAGAGUAACGGAGGUGCGCGAAGGUCUCCUCACGCCGGUUGGAAAUCGGCGCAGCGAGUGUAAAGGCACAAGGAGGCUUAACUGCGAGAGUGACAGCUCAAGCAGAUACGAAAGUAGGUCUUAAUGAUCUGGCGGUAGCGAGUGGAAGCGCCGUCACUUAACGGAUAAAAGGUACUCCGGGGAUAACAGGCUGAUAUUCCCCAAGAGUUCACAUCGACGGGAAUGUUUGGCACCUCGAUGUCGGCUCAUCGCAUCCUGGGGCUGAAGCAGGUCCCAAGGGUUUGGCUGUUCGCCAAUUAAAGCGGUACGUGAGCUGGGUUCAGAACGUCGCGAGACAGUUCGGUCCCUAUCUGCUAUGGGCGUUGGAUACGUGAGAGGAGCUGUUUUUAGUACGAGAGGACCGAAAUGGACGAACCUCUGGUGUACCGGUUAUCCUGCCAAGGGUAAUUGCCGGGUAGCUAAGUUCGGAAGGGAUAACCGCUGAAGGCAUCUAAGUGGGAAGCCCGCCUCAAGACUACGUAUCCCUGAGGGUUUAACCCUCCUAAAGACUCCUUGCACACUACAAGGUUGAUAGGUUGGAGGUCUAAGCACAGUAAUGUGUUCAGCCGACCAAUACUAAUAAGUCGUGAGGCUUGACCAUAUU
rnacentral:rRNA from 1 species